UGCCUUCCAAAUCCGUCAUCGACGAUGUGUCGCCCAUCUCUCCUAUCACCGGAGUCCUCAUCGUCAACAGACAUUGCCGGGAUCUCCAUAGACGGUGUACGAGAGACGCGGAUCUCGGGGAGGAAGGCGGCAGCGGUGGCCUUCAUUGACGCCAGGAUCUCACGCUGAUUCAGAUCUCCAUCAGACCAUUUCUGUAAGGUAAUACGCUGAGUCAAAGUCGUUUUUGCGGACGUCGUCGUUGAUUUUAAUCCCUAGACGAGUCCGCGCCGCAGUGUAUCUCCUAGUCGUCAAGGCCAUCAUCUUCGGCUACAAGGGGGAGUCCCGAAGUGGCAACUCGCGCCCUCGCACGCGCAGCUUCUCCGCUGCCCACCAAGCUGGCUCCUGGUCGACUACUAGCUAGGAACUAGGAAGCCCCGGGACAGCUGUGUGCGGGACGUCUCAGCGGUGGACGACGGGCGCCUGGGCGCGGCACAUGAUCUGCUCAAUCGGCCUGGACUGGUAUUCUGUAUCCAAGAAUGUGGCUGAACCUGCAUCAUUCUAAUAUGUAGAGAAGAAUUUCUGAAGCGCAGAAUGACAGGAACGUGGAUACAAACUAUAGAGAGAUCACAAACCACCGCCCCAUUCAUCACCCGAACAUUAUCAAGUUCAUUCAUAGAGGAGAUAUUAUAUUGACAUGAAGGAUUGAUGGUUUGAUGGAAAUUUUCAAGAGGUAGAAAGGGUCACUGUUAUAGACCAAUUAUCAAAUGAACUACGUGGGCUUGACGAUUUUGUGGUAGAUGAAGAGAAUAUUCGUUAGUGGGUGAUACUGAUGUAUAUGUACUUUAUCGGCUACGCAAGAAAGAUUUAUACUAAGAUUGAAAACAUAUUUUUGUAAAUUUUCGUUGUGAUAUUGGUUUAAUGCACUUCGUUUCUUUUACUUCA